AUAUAUAUAUAUAUAUAUAUAUAUAUAUAUAUAUAUAUAUAUCCCAACAGUUUCAGAAUUCACAGUAAACAGGGACAGUGUAGGAUCCUGGACUGGGACUCGAACCCGCCCUGAGGUAUCACUUCUGUUCCUGGGCCUCCUGCUCUACCAACUGAGCUAAACAGCUUUCAACAAAUGACGACUCUCUGAUUGGAUCCAACUAAACCAGCAAAAUAUCUCCCGCCCACAGAUUUAUCUGACGAAUCCAGGUGGUGCGUGCAAAAAGGGGCGGCCUCACUUGUUUCCCGCGUAAAAUUGACGCAUUUCCCUCCAAAACUGUAGAUGUGUAUAAAAAUGGCUGAGGGAUAUUCACUCUGUUUGGAGCUGCUCUUCUCUGAGGACACGAACACGGUCAGUAAACUGUUCUGUACAAUCUGCUUUAUGUGUGCUGUUACCUGCUCAGGUGUAUUCAUGUCUGUGUAGGAGGUGUGCAGAUCAGUUAUUACCUACAGAUCUCAGGUAAUAAGCUCAGGUGAUGUUCCUUCAUGUAUCAGCAGCUCCACACAGUAACUACCUCCAUGUUGUCUCAGCACAGUAAGUUCCACAUAUGUGCGGGUUAAAUGGAGCCAGCCUCCCUCUCAUGACGGUGAGAUUUGUUUUAGCCUCAAAUGUUUCUGAAAUAACUCUGAACAGAAGCUGAAGACGUCUCAUUAACUGUUAACUGUUAAGUGUUGAGGUAAAUUCGGCUGGAACAUAAUCCUCUAAUUAAUCCAAUUAAAUCCACGACGGACGUUAUGUUUUGCUCGGUGCACCAAACUCCAUUGUGAUUUUGGUCAUUUUAUCUCUGCUGCGUUUAUUACAUGAAUAAUGCACAGUAAAUUAAACAUAGGUCACGUUCUCAAAACAGGUGAACAGUGGGACUUGUCUUCAGCUUCAGGUGGAACAGCUCUGACCUGUAUGGUGAUCAGACCUGGAGAGGAGAGACACCUGGUCCAACAAGGUCAGUGCAGUAUAGGUGCAAAAAUUAAAGGCAGAAAGUGUGAGAGUUGUCAGUUGCUGUUCAUUAAUACUUUAGGAUCAGUAAAUGAUUCUAGAGGAUAGUCGAGUCUCAUUCAUAGGUCAUUGAAUACUGACAGUUUGUGUUGGCAGAAGCCACUACAGUGUCACUGUUGGGACACUAGUCUCUCUCCCUCUUUCUCUGUUUGACUUUUAAAAAAACGAAUUAAAGAGGCAAACUAAUUUGCAACUUAAAUGGGAAAUAAAAGAGGGAAGUAAAAGUAGUAUUUUUAAAUGGGUUUUACUAAGUGCUAUAUUGUAGACAACUGGCCUUGUUUCAGUUCAGCAUGGUAAAUGUGUUUGGUUUACUGAGAGGAAAUAUAAACAGUCUGUCUGUUUAGAACACCUGCAUUUAUUUGAUCUCAUUUAUAUAUAAUAUAAAUGAGAUCAUAUUUUAUUUAACAUGUAUAUCUCCACUGUUCAGCCACAACAUUAAAACAACUGACAAGUGAAGUUAGCAUUGAUCAUCUUGUUAAAAUCAAAUGUUCUGCUGGGAAACUUUGAGUUCUGUCAUUUCUGUGGAGCCUCUUUGACAAACACCACCCACCCAAACACCGUUCAGACCAACUACACCCCCUCAUGGCAAAGAACCCAAGGUGUCAAACUGGCCUCCUCAUUCUCCAGAUCCCAAUCCAGUUGAGCAUUUAUUGGAUGCGCCAGAACCAACUCCCAUCCACGUUGGGGCCCCCGUGGAUUGUUCUUGGCUCUGACUGCAUCCAGUGGAAGCUCAGUUGGAUUGAGAUCUGGGGGAUCUGGAGGCCAGGUUGACACCUUGAGUUCUUUCCCACGUUCCUCGGGUCGUUCCUGUGCAGUUUUUGCAGCGUUGCAGGCGCGUUGUCUUGCUGGGGGGGCACUGCCAUCAAGGAGUGCUGCUGCCAUGAGCGGGUGUACUCGGUCUGCAGCUGUGUUUGGGUGACUGGUGUUUGUCAAAGAGACAUCCACAUGAAUGCUAGGACUCAUGGUUUCACAGCCGAACAUGGCAUUGGAACACAAUGAUCCAUGUUAUUUAUUUCACCUGUCACUGGUUCAAAUGAUGUCGCUCUCAGUGUGUACACAUGCUAAAUACUUUAUGAAUUAGAUCAAAUAAAUAAAUUAAGGCACUGUAGCCAGACUUGUUUAUAUUUCCUCUCAGUAAAACAAAACCUUAUUUAAAAAUACUUGUGCUUCCUUUGAACCCUGUUGGUUUUGAGCUGGAACUUAUACAUUUUAAAUGGACAGCUUCAUUAAUGUAGAUCCAACAUUAAUAUUAGUCUUAAUUUAUUAAGGAUUAGGGAUUAUUAAUGAGGAUCGUUUUCAGUUUCUAAAGUGCAACUGCGUGGUCGUGAAGUUUUUGGUUUAGAAGCGGUUCUUGUGGUCUCUUUCAUGGUAGAGGUGCAACAAACUGAGCUCCAAACACCAGCAGAAUGACUUGAGAUGUGUUAAUUUCUGUCAGCCUGUGUAAGGUUUUGCUUGUGUGGUUGUUAGUUUGUCUGUUUCCUUCUGAGUGUAUAAACUAUGUUGAGCAGAGCCUGGUGUUAACAUUGGAGUUCGUAUUCAUGGUAGAAGUGCAGUGAAUUGAGAUCUACAACACCAUCAGAACUGAGCAGAGACGUGUUGUUUUGGAGGCCUCGUUGUAUAGAGCUGUUUAGGGACAAAAGUUCAGUGACAGUCAUCCAGUUGUUAGUGGUCUGCCAGGCAAACCUGGUGUUAUCAUUGUAAGUUAAAGGUUAACUGGACCGGACUUCAGCUAUCUUCAAUGGCAAAUGCCCGAGUGCUGUC
rnacentral:lncRNA from 1 species